UACAGAGGUCCCGAGCGUUGUUCGGAUUCACUGGGCGUAAAGGGUGCGUAGGUGGCGAUGAAAGUUCGAUGUGAAAUCUCCGGGCUUAACCCGGAAAAGGCAUUGAAAACUAUGUUGCUUGAGGUUUGGAGGGGGGACUGGAAUUCUUGGUGUAGCAGUGAAAUGCGUAGAUAUCAAGAGGAACACCAGUGGCAAAGGCGGGUCCCUGGACAACACCUGACACUGAGGCACGAAAGCUAGGGGAGCAAACAGG
rnacentral:rRNA from 1 species